rnacentral:lncRNA from 1 species
GCGGCCGCCCAGCGCCCGUCCCCGCGCCGCACUCCCCGGCACUCCCCGGCGCUCCCCGCGCCGCGCGCCCCGCACCGGCUGGAGGCCCCGGCCCCCCGGCGUUCCCUCUCCGCGCACCUCCCGGCCCGCGCUAGCAGGUAGCAGGCAAGAGUGUGGUUAUCGUUGGACCAGGAUUCAGGAUCUGACUGAGUAGCUGACUCUUAAUCCAGUUUGUGUUGAUCACCAGGAGGAUCUGGACCUCAGUAUUACCACAUCUAGAGCUAUAAUCACAUCCCUGUUAAGCCUUCCUGAGAUCACACCAAAUGUCCUUGAUGGGAAUUGUAAACAACCCUUACUUCUGGUUUCUAAUGAUAUUCCAGGAAAGGAGCCUAACUAGAGUCAGUGAUAUGCCAACUCCACCUUUGCCUUCCACCAUGUUUGGAAGCUCCCUGAGGCCUCACCAGGAGCAGAUGCUCGUCCCAUGCUUCCUAUAAGCCUGCAGAACUGGAAAAGAAAGCUGGAUAAAGUAUUUAUAGAAGAUAGAGGACCUGUGGUGGCUCAUGCCUGUAAUCCAAGGUGGAAGGAUUGCUUGAGGCCAGAAGUUCAAGACCAGUCCAAGCAACAUAGCAAGGCCCCAUCUCUACAAAAAAUGAAAAUAAAAUUAGCCGAGCGUGAUGGCUCAUGCCUGUAGUUCUAGCUUCUAGAGAGGCUGAGGCAGGAGGAUUGCUUGAGUCCAGGAGUUCAAGAUUACAGUGAGCUAUGGUCACACCACUGCACUCCAGCCUGGGUGAUGGAGUGAGACUGUCUCAAUAAAAAGACAAAAAGGCUGGCCAGGGGCAGUGGUUCAUGCCUGUAAACCCAGCACUUUGGGAGGCAAAGGCAGGAGGAUUGCUUAAGCCCAGGAAUUUGAGAUCAGCCUGGACAACAUGGUCAAGGAAGCUUUUCCUGAUCCACUAACUAAGGACAAUCAAACCCUUCAUGAUCUAGAAUCUGGAGACUGUGUCUUCUGGGAAUAGUAUCAGAGAAAGACUGCCCUUACUGCCCACAUGUAGCAAAACUUUGAGACGUUGAAUUAUGGGUCCAUAAUCUCACAACUCAGAGGGGCACCUCUAGACUCUUGGAACUGUAUAUCUAUUGGAGACUUUAAGGUAAAGCUGAACAGAGAGACGUUUUUCUCCAGAAGCAGACAGCACCAUAGUCAUGGACAGCUUUCCCAAGAUCACAGAUCAAGACUUCUCUGCCGUCAUGAGACUCAUAACCUCUUAAUUUUUUCUUGCUUAUGCUUCUGUGAACAAUAGAAUUGGAAAAGGGGUGGUCCCGCGUGCACCCAUAGGGUAUACUUUUAUUUGUGGAGGAUUUUGCUGCCAACCUUAUACAUGGGCAAACUUAUGCCUUCAUGGAUGGAAGAUAAAGGGCUAAUAUGGGUUAGAAAUUUUAAUGGUACCUUUGUUUCUCCAUAAUCAUUCAGAAACAGAACACUGGUCCACUCUUGUUAACCUACAUCAUAGGUUGAAGAGAACAUUGCCAGGAGGCCUUCAUCCUUCCAGAUGGGCACCAUUUGUUGGGUCUUUUUCCGUGGUAUGAAGAAAAUGAAGCAAUGAUUAGAAAUUGGUCCCUCGGCCGGGCACAAUGGCUCAUGCCUGUAAUCCCAUCACUUUGGCAGGCCGAGGCGGGUGGAUCACCUGAGGUCAGGAGUUUGAGACCAGCCUGACCAAUGUGGUGAAACGCCAUCUCUACUAAAAAUACAAAAAUUAGCUGGGUGUGAUGGUGCACACCUGUAAUCCAGCUACUCGGGAGGCUGAGACAGGAGAAUUGCUUGAACCUGGGAGGCAGAGGUUGCAGUGAGCCAAGAUCACCCCACUGCAUUCCAGGUUGGGCAACAGAGCAAGACUCUGUCUCAAAAAAAAAAGAAGAAAGAAAGAAAUUGAUCCCUCAUAAUAGGCUGUAUAGCAGAUUCUACUGCAAAGGCUAUGGUUGCACAACAGACUUCUUUGAAUUUGCUUGCUAAACUUUUACUGGAUAAUACUGGGAUUACAGGUGUGAGCCACUGUGCCCAGCCUCUCCUGUUUAACUGUAUUCAUUCUAAUGUUUACUUACUUCUUUAAUUUGUAAAAUUGGGUCACUUAGAGUUUUUUUAGCCUAUCUUGCCAUUUAGCCACUGUUACUGAUAAUUUGGAUGGAAAAGAAAAAUAAAUUAUAUCACCUCUCA